rnacentral:tRNA from 2 species
GAGAUGAAACGAGGGGCUAAACCUGUAGAUGUCUGCGGUCUAGCUUUCUGGACGGGGGUUCGACUCCCCCCAUCUCCACCA